rnacentral:rRNA from 1 species
UACGGAGGGUGCAAGCGUUACUCGGAAUCACUGGGCGUAAAGAGCGCGUAGGCGGGAUAGCAAGUCAGAUGUGAAAUCCUAUGGCUUAACCAUAGAACUGCAUUUGAAACUGUUAUUCUAGAGUAUGGGAGAGGUAGGUGGAAUUCGUGGUGUAGCGGUGAAAUGCUUAGAUAUCACGAAGAACUCCGAUUGCGAAGGCAGCUCACUGGACUGCAACUGACACUGAGGCUCGAAAGUGUGGGUAUCAAACAGG